rnacentral:rRNA from 1 species
UAAGGAAUAUUGCUCAAUGGGAGAAAUCCUGAAGCAGCAACGCCGCGUGGAGGAUGAAGGGUCUAUGACUUGUAAACUCCUGUAAAGAAGGAAAAAAUUCCCAUUAGAUGGGAGAUGAUGGUACUUCUGGAGUAAGCCCCGGCUAACUACGUGCCAGCAGCCGCGGUAAUACGUAGGGGGCAAGCGUUGUCGGGAUUUACUGGGUGUAAAGGGUGCUCAGGCGGAUUUGUAAGUCAGAGGUGAAAUCUUACAGCUUAACUGUGAAACUGCCUUUGAUACUGCAAGCCUAGAGUAUGGAAGAGAGUGAUGGAAUAUCUGGUGUAGCAGUGAAAUGCGUAGAUAUCAGAUAGAACACCAAUGGCGAAGGCAGUCACUUGAUCCAUUACUGACGCUAAAGCACGAAAGCGUGGGUAGCAAACA